rnacentral:misc_RNA from 1 species
UUUCCGUAGGUGAACCUGCGGAAGGAUCAUUACCGGGAUAUGUCGAAAGACAAUCUCCAUGACCCUUUUUUGUUUACAACAAAAAUGUCUUCUUCGGCAAGACGUUCAAUUUUUGACUCAAGAAUUGACCAUUGAUUCUUUUUUGUAACUAAAAGAGAAUGAAUGUGUUUUGCUUGCCGAAGGUUUUUUUUAUAAAAACUCUUUUUUAUUAAUAAAGUCUGAGUAAUAAAACAAAAUAAAUUAAAACUUUCAACAACGGAUCUCUUGGUUCUGGCAUCGAUGAAGAACGCAGC